UAUUCUGUCUUCCUGGAUAUCCCAAAGACUACUUCUCAGCUCUUCACCAGGACCAUGUACCUAGAAAUGACCAAUGGCUUGUGAGCGGAAAUGAUGUGUGUAAUUCUGGGAUAAGACUGUGAAACAUCCUUGUUCUAUCUUUCAGUUUUCCUCUUCUCCUGUGUUAGAAAGCGUGAAGAAUAUAUGUUGGAAUGAGGGAGCCCACACAAGAUAGAGCUACCUGGAUUGUCACAUCACCUUGUGGUCAUCUGUACUAACAGCAGGUCCUGCAUGUUUGGCACGGCAUCUCAACUUGAUGUCUAUUUCUUCUUGUUCUCCUUCACCUCACAUGAACCUUCCAAGUCAUAAUUCUUUGGAAAUAGACACAAGGAGCUUUAUUUCAAAUUACCAUCCUUUACUUAAGAGGUUCCAUCUCUAAGCAUAUCAGCAAUCAUGGUGACGUGCCACUCUGCUGGUAAUUCAUAUGGCUUAUUCAGAAGCACAGAUCAUGGCUGUUAGACCUGCCAGAUGUUCCCGGUCCCUAGCUGCAAUUAAGUUCCAACAUAGCCCAAUUUGAAAGAGAUUGAGAAACCACAGUUCUCAUUAAGAAUAUUCAUGAGUUUGCACCUUGAAAAGCCAGCAAUCACAUGAUAUGCCAGAACGGACAAGAUCGUUUGAGAAGAGGAAAAAAAAAAAGAUGCAAUUUAAAAUAAGUUACCAGAGAAGAUCAUUUUACCUCGGUCUGGCCAGUUGAAACACUGUGUUUGCCAUUACACAGUGGGUGUUUUUGGGAUGUGACUGAAGUCAGCCUGAGUCCAAUGAAAAUUCUGAACUUCUUCUGGAAUUAUGGUGAAGGACAAACUCUUUUUGGGUUGUAAACCUGGCAAUGUUUUGAAAGUUUCCACAUGGACCGUUUUUAAGCAGAAUCUCAUGGGAUUUUAGACCCUGAAGUGUCAUAUCUAAUUGUUAUCUCUUCAUGUUCAUGUCUUCAGUAAUCAUCUAGAAGUGAUAUUAUGGACUGGCACUCAGAGGCGGUGUGAACUGUGAGAAUCUACAUUCUAAAAUCUUCUCAAAUCUUUUUUGCUAUCCUUCCCAUUUGUCUCACAUCAUCUGGGGUAUAGAAAGUGUGAAACUUUUUAGUUUUAUAUACCUUGAAGAA
rnacentral:lncRNA from 1 species